rnacentral:rRNA from 1 species
AUUGAACGCUGGCGGAAUGCUUUACACAUGCAAGUCGAACGGCAGCACGGGUGCUUGCACCUGGUGGCGAGUGGCGAACGGGUGAGUAAUGCACCGGAACGUAUCCAAUAAUGGGGGAUAACGCACCGAAAGGUGUGCUAAUACCGCAUACGCCCUGAGGGGGAAAGCGGGGGAUCGUAAGACCUCGCGUUAAUGGAGCGGCCGAUGCCGGAUUAGCUAGUUGGUGAGGUAAAGGCUCACCAGGGCGACGAUCCGUAGCUGGUCUGAGAGGACGACCAGCCACACUGGAACUGAGACACGGUCCAGACUCCUACGGGAGGCAGCAGUGGGGAAUUUUGGACAAUGGGCGCAAGCCUGAUCCAGCCAUUCCGCGUGAGUGAAGAAGGCCUUCGGGUUGU